rnacentral:rRNA from 1 species
AUGAACGCUAGCUACAGGCUUAACACAUGCAAGUCGAGGGGCAGCAUGGUCUUAGCUUGCUAAGGCCGAUGGCGACCGGCGCACGGGUGAGUAACACGUAUCCAACCUGCCGUCUACUCUUGGACAGCCUUCUGAAAGGAAGAUUAAUACAAGAUGGCAUCAUGAGUCCACAUGUUCACAUGAUUAAAGGUAUUCCGGUAGACGAUGGGGAUGCGUUCCAUUAGAUAGUAGGCGGGGUAACGGCCCACCUAGUCUUCGAUGGAUAGGGGUUCUGAGAGGAAGGUCCCCCACAUUGGAACUGAGACACGGUCCAAACUCCUACGGGAGGCAGCAGUGAGGAAUAUUGGUCAAUGGGCGAGAGCCUGAACCAGCCAAGUAGCGUGAAGGAUGACUGCCCUAUGGGUUGUAAACUUCUUUUAUAAAGGAAUAAAGUCGGGUAUGCAUACCCGUUUGCAUGUACUUUAUGAAUAAGGAUCGGCUAACUCCGUGCCAGCAGCCGCGGUAAUACGGAGGAUCCGAGCGUUAUCCGGAUUUAUUGGGUUUAAAGGGAGCGUAGAUGGAUGUUUAAGUCAGUUGUGAAAGUUUGCGGCUCAACCGUAAAAUUGCAGUUGAUACUGGAUAUCUUGAGUGCAGUUGAGGCAGGCGGAAUUCGUGGUGUAGCGGUGAAAUGCUUAGAUAUCACGAAGAACUCCGAUUGCGAAGGCAGCCUGCUAAGCUGCAACUGACAUUGAGGCUCGAAAGUGUGGGUAUCAAACAGGAUUAGAUACCCUGGUAGUCCACACGGUAAACGAUGAAUACUCGCUGUUUGCGAUAUACAGCAAGCGGCCAAGCGAAAGCGUUAAGUAUUCCACCUGGGGAGUACGCCGGCAACGGUGAAACUCAAAGGAAUUGACGGGGGCCCGCACAAGCGGAGGAACAUGUGGUUUAAUUCGAUGAUACGCGAGGAACCUUACCCGGGCUUAAAUUGCAGAUGAAUUACGGUGAAAGCCGUAAGCCGCAAGGCAUCUGUGAAGGUGCUGCAUGGUUGUCGUCAGCUCGUGCCGUGAGGUGUCGGCUUAAGUGCCAUAACGAGCGCAACCCUUGUUGUCAGUUACUAACAGGUCAUGCUGAGGACUCUGACAAGACUGCCAUCGUAAGAUGUGAGGAAGGUGGGGAUGACGUCAAAUCAGCACGGCCCUUACGUCCGGGGCUACACACGUGUUACAAUGGGGGGUACAGAGGGCCGCUACCACGCGAGUGGAUGCCAAUCCCAAAAACCUCUCUCAGUUCGGACUGGAGUCUGCAACCCGACUCCACGAAGCUGGAUUCGCUAGUAAUCGCGCAUCAGCCACGGCGCGGUGAAUACGUUCCCGGGCCUUGUACACACCGCCCGUCAAGCCAUGGGAGCCGGGGGUACCUGAAGUGCGUAACCGCGAGGAGCGCCCUAGGGUAAAACUGGAG